GCGGCCUUGGUGUAGUGGUUAGCAUUAUUGCCUUCCAAGCAAUAGAGGGGGGUUCGAUUCCCCCAGGUCGCA
rnacentral:tRNA from 1 species